rnacentral:rRNA from 1 species
AACGAACGCCGGCGGCGCGCCUAAUACAUGCAAGUCGAACGAGAAGCUGUAGCAAUACAGUUGUACAGUGGCGAACGGGUGAGGAAUACAUGGGUGACCUACCCUCGAGUGGGGAAUAACCAGCCGAAAGGUUGGCUAAUACCGCGUACGCUUCCCAGUCUACGGGUUGGGAAGGAAAGCGAUGCCGUGGGUAUCGCGCUCAAGGUUGGGCUCAUGUCCUAUCAGCUUGNGGUUGGGGUAACGGCGUCACCAAGGCAACGACGGGUAGGCUGGUCUGAGAGGACGAUCAGCCACACUGGCACUGCGACACGGGCC